rnacentral:lncRNA from 1 species
UGUUGGCCUAACAUUCAGGCAUGCUUUGCAAAUAACUACUACUGAACAAGUACUUCAAUAUUCUACUUGGACCUGAAAUUUCAGCAACGUGAAUAUUUUCUCCAGCAAUUCAGAUUACUAAGUCUCUUUGCAGGUCUAUCCAGUGUAACUCUCCUCCACAUCUUUCUAGAAAUUCACCACCAAGGGUCCAUUCAUCAUACCUUCUUCAUAUUCUCUUCCCAUUUCACAGAUACUAAAAGAGCAUUUCGGAGCAUGAGGAAGAUCAGUUUCUUCAUAUGAAGGUGACAGAUCAAAAGACUGAUAAAAGCGCCUUGAGUUUCACAAGGAACAAUAUGCAGCUCUGACAAUGGGAGCCCUGCACAUAACCAAGGGGGGAAUUGGGCCCAGCGCAUCUA